UUUUUAUAAGCAUUCCUCAUAACAACCUAGAACACCACCACCAGAUGAAUACUAUCAUCUUUAUAAGUCACAAAGUUACGGUGGUCAGGGACCAAGAAAGUCCCUCCCUUCUGCGUGAAAGUGAUGCUUCUCCCCUGAGGACUUUGGACUGAAGUCAGAGAGUAUCUGCCAAGGAUCACAGCCAUCCCCCUACUCCACCCACAGUCACAACCGGCCACAGACUAUCAGCCCACAGUCUGACAACGCAUCCAGAGAGGAUUCUGACCCCAGAAGGGACUGCUCCACGAAGAAUUAACUCCUGGGGACCCCUGGCAUCAAGUGCUGAAGAAAGGUAACCUCAGAGAGAAAAGACUUUCCCAAGUUCCUGCAGCCAGCCAACAGCAAAGCCCCCUACUGACGUGAAAUUCAAAGACAAGCCUGGCCAAAAGGAAUCGAACUUUUUUAAGCACUGAAGCACAGCAGCGCUCCGCUGGCCCUAAUGAAUGGGAAAGAGCCAUCAAAGACAACACAUGAACAAGCAGAAAUCAAAUGGUUUUCCCUGUAGCUUAAGUAAGCCCUGGUCUCUGUUGAGAUUGAGCCAUAUAAAGUGUAAAACUUAA